GACAUAAAGGAAAAGAAACACGGAGCAGUAGUACUGGAUACAAUCGCUAGAGAUCUCGAUGGACGACGAUACCCCCAAUCCACGCAGCCGCAACACACACGAGCCGCCGCCGCCGCCGAAAGACAACGGCUUCUUCUUCUGCCCCGACGCCGACGUCCUGGCGGAGAUCCUGGGCCGGCUCCCGCCCAACGCGCGGCGGCGCGCGCGCCUCGUGUGCCGGCUCUGGCGCGCCGCCGUGGACGAGCGGACGCCCACGAACCUUAAGACCCGCGCCACAGGCCGCUCGUCUUCGGCAGCGAGAUCGAGGACGACGGGCUGCGGCACCGGCGCGACACGUGGAACUCGUCGGCGCACGUCAUCGACGACGCCCCGCAAAGCAAGGGCCGCCGCCACCGGAUGGUCUGGUCCAGCCUGGAGUCCGGCGUCGACGAGGACUACUCCGGCGCCGCCAUGGGCAUGGUCGGCACCCGCAACGGCAUCCUCUGCCUCUGCCACAACGACAGCGACAAGCCCCCCGCCGGCGCCAUCGUCCUCGUCAAUCCCGUCACCUGCGAGACGCUCCAAUCCCACCAUUGCAGCAGCAGCAGCAGCAGGAUUCAGUAUCUCUUGCAGCGGCUGCCGGGUCGACGACAAGACGGCGGUGGCACGAGACGUACAGCUUCGCCUACGACGAAGAUACCGGGCAGUACAAGAUCCUGCAUAUCCCGUGCUACGAUGGUAGUGGCAAUGGACGGUUUGACGCCGUGAAGGUGUUCACCUUGGGAGAUCCGUUGUCGUCGUCGUCGUGGCGGGAUGUGCCGGCACCUGCAGGCAAGGUUUCAGAUUCCGAUGAAAUUUCUGCAAUUUCGUGAAAUUUUAGCCUUUCAGUAAAAAAAAAACCCGGUUAGUUUGGCUAUGAUUUCAGCCCGGCGUAGAAUAACUUGUAUAAACACUGGUUCUAUACAUAGUCAUUUUUUUUUCCUUUUUGGACAAGAACAGAGCAAUUAACUUGUGUAGCUUAAUUGUGCUAGAAUGUGCCGAAAUUUUGUCCAAAACGAAAUUGCCUGCAGGUUCGAGCUGCAGCCUUGGCAACGGUCUGCUCAGCAUCGGCGGCGCGGCGUACUGGGUCACGGAGGAUAGGCGAAGCGUCAUGUCGUUUCACCUCUGGAAGGAAUGCUACACGACCAAGCCGCUUCCGGACGCGGAUGAGCUGGGCUACAGCUUCCACCUAGCAAUGGUGCUCGGGGGCCGGCUGGGUCUUGCCGCCAAUAUCUAUGCAAGGAAUACAGAGGCUGUUAUAGCAAGCUUCACACAGGUAAUGGGUCGCAGAGAGUGAAGGCUGGAGUAACUGUUACGGUAUCCACAUGCUUGGGGUGGAACGGCGGCUAACGAGGCCAGACUUCGCGCUUGGGGGGUACAUCCUGACGAACCAAGAACUAAGACGAAGUUCAAUCUUGCACGUGCAUAAGCUGAGUAACGACAAGCAGAAGGUGCUUUUGAUAAAUAAGCAGACCAAGGGCAGGAGAAUAGUUACCAAGCUGAUCUCUACGGGCGACUAUAAUCAAACGUUUGCCUAUGUCGAGACCCAAGAGCCGUUGCACAUUUACAAAACAAGCUAGAAGAGGAAAAACUACCAACCGCCACGUCACGCACUCGCUGACAAGCCGGCCCCACCGCGCCAAGAGCGCACGCGACGGAAGCCGCAGAGCGCGAGGAAACUGCCUGGGCAUAGAGAUUGUAGGGAUUUCUGACUGAAGAAUAUAUGUCUUCGAGAUCGAAUAUUAAUUUUUUUUAAAGAAGUUUUAUUUGUGAUUUCUGGCUUAA